rnacentral:lncRNA from 1 species
CCCAAUUGACAUCCCUACAUAAUUUAGUACAUAAACGUAUACGAUUAUAGCCCACUUCAAUCGUUGUCGACAUUUGAAUAUUCCUCCCACUGUCCUCAUUAGAAUCAUCCGAACUUAUGACAAUUAUUGGGAGAUGGAAAGUUUGCCAACGACUCAUCAUUGUUGGAUUCAUCUUCAAAUGAAACUAUGAACUCAAACACAUCAUCAAGUACGCCGGGAGGUGACUACAAGGCCUCACUUGAAAUUUCAUUCAGAUUGGGAAAAUGAACAACAGAAAUGGCUUUCCUACCAUUUGGAAGGUUGACUUCCUCAUCAUUCGAAGAAAUUAUGAAGGAAAAAAUGGGGACAAAUCGGGUAUUGAGAGAGGCUCAUUCAGGUUCAACGGUUUGUGGAUUCUCAUGGACAACUAUUAUCUCAAUAUGGUUGUAUUAAGUGAACUGUUUGAAAUGUUUGAUGUAUAAAGUGUCACAAAGUGGGAGAAGUGCUUAAAUGUAACUGAGAAGAAAGUCACGCCCUACUAUUUAUAAUCAAAUUCUUGGAGGGAAUUAAUUAUGGUCAUUUACAACACAACCACCAAAUUACAGGUUCAAGUGUUGCUUGAGUGAAAAUUGAUGUGAUGAUUUAUGGUCUAGGUAUACCUUUAUCCUCCAAACUUUGUACAUAAUUUAUGGAAAAUGUGAAUAUUAAAUCAUGUAUAC